CCCUCGGUGUUUUUUAACACCACCCAUUGUAUCAGAAAUUGUGGCU
rfam:Phytophthora ramorum strain Pr102 Scaffold84 genomic scaffold, whole genome shotgun sequence.